AUUUUGCUCCUGAUAGUGGUAGAAAUCCGAAGACGAGAUGGGAUAGGGCUAACUAUUUUUAGUAAGCGCUCGUUGCGAUUUGUGUUGGUCCAUGCUGUACCUAGCUACUUGAAUUAACGGGUCGCUGCGCGAAGUUGACAACAGCAGUGAAAAUUGCACAUCCGCUUAUGUUUGUCUUAAAGAAAAGGGGAAUUUGUUGAUCUCGACUUGUAUGCCUUCGCCAGGAAAUUGAGCCUACCUUUCCGAUCUUUGGCCUUACGGUUUGGUAAAUUAGCAGGAG